rnacentral:lncRNA from 1 species
UCUUUUCCCUCAUAUUCCUAUCUACAAGAAACCUCUCCCUCCUCCUGUGCCUGUCUAUGUAAAACCUCUUCCCCCUCCUGUGCCUAUCUAUAAGCCUCCUGUAUAUGUAAAACCUCUCCCUCCUCCAGUGCCUAUCUAUAAGCCACCUGUUUACGUGAAACCUCACCCUCCUCUUGUGCCUGUUUAUAAACCACCUGUAUACGUGAAACCUCACCCUCCUCCUGUGCCUGUCUAUAAACCACCUGUAUAUGUGAAACCUCACCCUCCUCCUGUGCCUGUCUAUAAGCCUCCUAUUAUUCCAGUUACUAAACCGCUUCCACCACCGGUUCCGUUCAAGAAACCAUGUCCACCAAAGAUUGAGCAUCCAAUUCUACCACCUGUUCCAAUAUAUAAACCUCCAAUAGUUCCAAAGCCACCGGUGGUUCCGAUCGUCAAGCCACUUCCUCCUCCAGUUCCAAUUUACAAACCACCAGUUGUCACUAAACCUUUUCCUCCAUUCAAGAAACCACCAUGUCCACCAAAGAUUGAGCAUCCAAUUCUACCACCUGUUCCAAUAUAUAAACCUCCAGUAGUUCCAAAACCACCGGUGGUUCCGAUCGUCAAGCCACUUCCUCCUCCAGUUCCAAUUUACAAACCACCAGUUGUCACUAAACCCUUUCCUCCAUUCAAGAAACCACCAUGUCCACCUCUUCCCAAGCUCCCUCCAAAGCCAUUUUUCCAUCACCCCAAGUUUGGAAAAUGGCCUCCAAAGCCUUUUUUCCAUCACCCCAAGUUUGGAAAAUGGCCACCAAUCUCUCCAAAGAACUUCUUCCAUCAUCCAAAGUUAGGAAAUUGGCAUCCUAAAAGCUUCUUCCAUCACCCUAAGUUUGGGAAAUG